UAUUGCCAAUAUUUUGAAUUGUAGUCAGAGAAGAAAUCGAUUAUGCGAUAGGAGAUAAUCGAUUAUUUGAAGACAGAAGUAUUAUGAGGGUCCGGGCUGGGGGAAUAAUCGAUGUUGGUUAAUAUGAUAAUCGAUUAUUUCAGUCUAGUGAUAUGACGAAAAGCCGAGACGAUAAAAGGUAAUCGAUUAUGCAGUACUAAAUAAACGAUUAUUAUGAAACCUGUAACAUUGAAUCUCAACUUAAUCGAUUAGUAAUAUAUGAUAAUCGAUUAUUGCCAA
rnacentral:lncRNA from 1 species